UCCGAUAUGGUCUAGUGGCUAGGAUUUGCCGCUCUCAUUGAGAGUCAAACGCUCCUGUAGUGCCGGCAAGGCCCGGGUUCGAUUCCCGGUGUCGGAA